rnacentral:rRNA from 1 species
AGAGUUUGAUCCUGGCUCAGGACGAACGCUGGCGGCGUGCCUAAUACAUGCAAGUCGAGCGGACAGAUGGGAGCUUGCUCCCUGAUGUUAGCGGCGGACGGGUGAGUAACACGUGGGUAACCUGCCUGUAAGACUGGGAUAACUCCGGGAAACCGGGGCUAAUACCGGAUGGUUGUUUGAACCGCAUGGUUCAAACAUAAAAGGUGGCUUCGGCUACCACUUGCAGAUGGACCCGCGGCGCAUUAGCUAGUUGGUGAGGUAAUGGCCCACCAAGGCAACGAUGCGUAGCCGACCUGAGAGGGUGAUCGGCCACACUGGGACUGAGACACGGCCCAGACUCCUACGGGAGGCAGCAGUAGGGAAUCUUCCGCAAUGGACGAAAGUCUGACGGAGCAACGCCGCGUGAGUGAUGAAGGUUUUCGGAUCGUAAAGCUCUGUUGUUAGGGAAGAACAAGUGCCGUUCGAAUAGGGCGGUACCUUGACGGUACCUAACCAGAAAGCCACGGCUAACUACGUGCCAGCAGCCGCGGUAAUACGUAGGUGGCAAGCGUUGUCCGGAAUUAUUGGGCGUAAAGGGCUCGCAGGCGGUUUCUUAAGUCUGAUGUGAAAGCCCCCGGCUCAACCGGGGAGGGUCAUUGGAAACUGGGGAACUUGAGUGCAGAAGAGGAGAGUGGAAUUCCACGUGUAGCGGUGAAAUGCGUAGAGAUGUGGAGGAACACCAGUGGCGAAGGCGACUCUCUGGUCUGUAACUGACGCUGAGGAGCGAAAGCGUGGGGAGCGAACAGGAUUAGAUACCCUGGUAGUCCACGCCGUAAACGAUGAGUGCUAAGUGUUAGGGGGUUUCCGCCCCUUAGUGCUGCAGCUAACGCAUUAAGCACUCCGCCUGGGGAGUACGGUCGCAAGACUGAAACUCAAAGGAAUUGACGGGGGCCCGCACAAGCGGUGGGGCAUGUGGUUUAAUUCGAAGCAACGCGAAGAACCUUACCAGGUCUUGACAUCCUCUGACAAUCCUAGAGAUAGGACGUCCCCUUCGGGGGCAGAGUGACAGGUGGUGCAUGGUUGUCGUCAGCUCGUGUCGUGAGAUGUUGGGUUAAGUCCCGCAACGAGCGCAACCCUUGAUCUUAGUUGCCAGCAUUCAGUUGGGCACUCUAAGGUGACUGCCGGUGACAAACCGGAGGAAGGUGGGGAUGACGUCAAAUCAUCAUGCCCCUUAUGACCUGGGCUACACACGUGCUACAAUGGACAGAACAAAGGGCAGCGAAACCGCGAGGUUAAGCCAAUCCCACAAAUCUGUUCUCAGUUCGGAUCGCAGUCUGCAACUCGACUGCGUGAAGCUGGAAUCGCUAGUAAUCGCGGAUCAGCAUGCCGCGGUGAAUACGUUCCCGGGCCUUGUACACACCGCCCGUCACACCACGAGAGUUUGUAACACCCGAAGUCGGUGAGGUAACCUUUUAGGAGCCAGCCGCCGAAGGUGGGACAGAUGAUUGGGGUGAAGUCGUAACAAGGUA